CCUACGGGAGGCUGCAGUGAGGAAUAUUGGUCAAUGGACGAGAGUCUGAACCAGCCAAGUAGCGUGAAGGAUGACUGCCCUAUGGGUUGUAAACUUCUUUUAUAUGGGAAUAAAACGUUCCACGUGUGGGAUUUUGUAUGUACCAUAUGAAUAAGGCUCGGCUAACUCCGUGCCAGCAGCCGCGGUAAUACGGAGGAUCCGAGCGUUAUCCGGAUUUAUUGGGUUUAAAGGGAGCGUAGGUGGAUUGUUAAGUUAGUUGUGAAAGUGUGCGGCUCAACCGUAAAAUUGCAGUUGAAACUGGCAGUCUUGAGUACAGUAGAGGUGGGCGGAAUGCGUGGUGUAGCGGUGAAAUGCUUAGAUAUCACGAAGAACUCCGAUUGCGAAGGCAGUUCACUGGACUGCAACUGACACUGAGGCUCGAAAGUGUGGGUAUCAAACAGGAUUAGAUACCCUAGUAGUC
rnacentral:rRNA from 1 species